AGAGUUUGAUCCUGGCUCAGGAUGAACGCUGGCGGCGUGCCUAACACAUGCAAGUUGAACGGGAGGCUUUUUUCGGAAAGCCGAGAGUAGCGCACGGGUGAGUAACACGUAGCUUACCUGCCCUGAAGAGCGGGAUAACGUACCGAAAGGUGUGCUAAUACCGCAUAAGCUCACGGACUGUAGAGGUCUGUGAGAAAAGCUCGGGCGCUUUGGGAUGGGGCUGCGGCCCAUCAGCUCGUUGGUGAGGUAAAAGCUCACCAAGGCAACGACGGGUAGGGGGCCUGAGAGGGUGACCCCCCACACUGGGACUGAGACACGGCCCAGACUCCUACGGGAGGCAGCAGUGAGGAAUAUUGCUCAAUGACGCAAGUCUGAAGCAGCGACGCCGCGUGGGUGAAGAAGGUCUUCGGAUCGUAAAGCCCUUUUCUGGGAGACGAGAUAGGACGGUAACCCAGGAAUAAGUGUCGGCUAACUACGUGCCAGCAGCCGCGGUAAAACGUAGGACGCAAGCGUUAUCCGGAAUUACUGGGCGUAAAGCGCGUGCAGGCGGGUCAGCAAGUCAUGCGUGAAAGCUCCUGGCUAAACUGGGAGAGGUCGGAUGAGACUGCUGAUCUGGAGUAUGUCAGAGGCGUGUGGAAUUCCGCGUGUAGUGGUGAAAUGCGUAGAGAUGCGGAGGAACACCAGUGGCGAAGGCGGCACGCUGGGGCAUAACUGACGCUGAGGCGCGAAAGCAUGAGCGAACGGGAUUAGAAACCCCGGUAGUCCAUGCCGUAGACGAUGUACACUAGACGUUCGGGCUACAUUGUAGCUUGAGUGUCGCAGCAAACGCAAUAAGUGUACCGCCUGGGGAGUACGGUCGCAAGGCUAAAACUCAAAGGAAUUGACGGGGGCCCGCACAAGCAGCGGAGCGUGUGGUUUAAUUCGAGGCUACACGAAAAACCUUACCUGGGUUUGACAUGAUGGUGGACGAACGCGAAAGCGGGAGGUCUCUUCGGAGCGCCAUGACAGGUGCUGCAUGGCUGUCGUCAGCUCGUGUCGUGAGAUGUUCGGUUAAGUCCGAAAACGAGCGCAACCCCUGGGUUCAGUUACAGGUGUCUGAACCGACUGCCUGCGGCAAGCAGGAGGAAGGUGGGGAUGACGUCAAGUCAGCAUGGCCUUUAUAUCCAGGGCUACACACACGCUACAAUGGCGCGUACAAUGGGUCGCGAAGCCGCGAGGCGGAGCCAAUCCCAAAAAGCGCGUCGUAGUUCGGAUUGCAGGCUGCAACUCGCCUGCAUGAAGUCGGAGUUGCUAGUAACCGCAAAUCAGCAUGUUGCGGUGAAUACGUUCCCGGGCCUUGUACACACCGCCCGUCACGUCAUGGGAGCUGGUCACGCCUGAAGUCGGGAAGCGAACCGCAAGGAAGCUACCGCCGAAGGCAGGGCUGGUGACUGGGACGAAGUCGUAACAAGGUA
rnacentral:rRNA from 1 species